rnacentral:rRNA from 1 species
GAUGAACGCUGGCGGCGUGCUUAACACAUGCAAGUCGAACGAUGAAGCCCAGCUUGCUGGGUGGAUUAGUGGCGAACGGGUGAGUAACACGUGAGUAACCUGCCCUUAACUCUGGGAUAAGCCUGGGAAACUGGGUCUAAUACCGGAUAGGAGCGUCCACCGCAUGGUGGGUGUUGGAAAGAUUUAUCGGUUUUGGAUAGACUCGCGGCCUAUCAGCUUGUUGGUGAGGUAAUGGCUCACCAAGGCGACGACGGGUAGCCGGCCUGAGAGGGUGACCGGCCACACUGGGACUGAGACACGGCCCAGACUCCUACGGGAGGCAGCAGUGGGGAAUAUUGCACAAUGGGCGCAAGCCUGAUGCAGCGACGCCGCGUGAGGGAUGACGGCCUUCGGGUUGUAAACCUCUUUCAGUAGGGAAGAAGCGAAAGUGACGGUACCUGCAGAAGAAGCACCGGCUAACUACGUG